UGAAUACUGUUACUCUAAAUUUAUUGAAAUUCGCUUGAAUCUCAUGAAGGAUAAAUUUUAUUAAUAUGACACAAUAAUGAUAGAGUCUUAUAAAAGAUAAAUUCUAAUAAUUUAUAUAUAAUGCGGUAUGCUUAAGUCAGGACUUUACGGAAACGUUUUGUCGUCCAAAUUUUUUGCCGGGCUUUUUCAAGACUGUUUAAGAGUUGCAUGUGUAACGUAGAAUGAGUUUACGAGCGCUGCCAUAUAAAUCCACCUAACAUUGAUUGCUAAAGUAAUGUAUGAACUACAUGAAGAACUGUACAGAUUGUGUGGCAGGCGUGAUUUUUUCCAAAUCAGCAUUAAACUUAAGGCAAUGUUUCAGUAUAAAAUAUAUUGAAUUAGCCACUUCUAUGGCAUGCUUGCUGAUAUCACUUAGGAGAAAUAAUACUAACUCAUGUAUGGAACAGUUUGGAAAUUGAGGUUUCAAAAUGUCCCAAUAUUAAACUAUUUGUAAGAUUUAAAUCUAUAAGCAUCUGAUUUGCCAAAAGAAGAACUUGACAUCCCUCAAACUACUGAAGAUCUUGACAUCCCUCAAAUUUCAUAGUCUUUGAUAAACAAAAAAGAGCUUAUCGCAAAUCUUUAGCAAAAAGCAAUUAGUUGAAGUUUCAACAGAGGUGAUUAAAGCAAACUCGUUCAAAUAACAUUGUUGUAUCUAAGUAAUGGGCAAAAUGUGUUUUUUUCUGGAUUUAAUAAACCAGGCGCUUUGCACAAUGGAAGG
rnacentral:lncRNA from 1 species